rnacentral:rRNA from 1 species
AAAAUGUAUUUUUGUAGAAUAAAGUAUAUCUUUUUCUAGUGGUUUAUCCGCAUAAAAUUCUAGAUAAAAAACUGAUUAUGACAAAUUUUUAUCUACAAGUCCUGACAAAAACACGUGCCAGCAGUCGCGGUAAUACGGGAAAGACUAGUGUUAUUCAUCUUUAAUAGGUUUAAAGGGUACCUAGACAGUUUAUUUAACCACGUUUAAAAAGGAAAAAUAUAAACUAGAGUUUUAUAGGAGAGGAAUGUCAGUACUGACAGAGGAGAGAUAAAAUUUUUUAAUACUGUUGGGUACUGAUAACGGCGAAGGCAAUCCUUUAUGUAAAAACUGACGUUGAGGGACGAAGGCUUGGGUAACAAACAGGAUUAGAUACCCUAAUAGUCCAGGCAGACAAUUAUGAGUGCCAUAGAUUAGAAAUAUUUUGAUUUAUAAAUGAAAGUGCAAGCACUCCACCUCAAGAGUAAUGUGGCAACGCAGGAACUGAAAUCAUUAGACCGUGUCUGAAACCAGUAGUGAAGUAUGUUAUUUAAUUCGAUGGUCCGCGAAUAACCUUACCACAAUUUGUAUAUUUUAUUGAUUUAUUUAUUAUAAUAAAUGAAUAAAUCACUAUUAAUACAGGUGCUGCACGGCUGUCUUUAGUUAAUGUCGUGAGAUGAAGGUUAGCUCCAUAAAAUUAACGUAUAACCCUUACAUCAUUUAUAAAUGAUGUAGUUCCCCGUUAGAUUGGAAAGAUAAAAGGGGUCAAGACAAGUACUCAUGGCCCGAAUAUUGUGGGCUAUA